GAAAUGAAGACUCCGAUGCUUAACCAACUGAGCCACUCAGGUAGCCAGAGAGAAUAAGAAAUUUUAAUGAAGAAAGGAAAAAGGGUGAUGAAAAUAGAAUAGGGUGUGUCAAAGAAAGCCAGUUACAUAUAGGGUAGGAAAUAAAAGCGCAUGGAUGGCUGAAGAAAAGUGGCCAGGAUGAAGUGAGGAGAAAUAGGCUGAUGAUGUUUCACCUAAGAGAGAAAGAAACCACAGACAUGACAAGGGAGAAACAGAGAAGCAGGCAAAUCUUUGAGUGGUGCCAGACAGCAUGGAAGAGAAACUAAGAUGAACAAAAAGAGAUUCUGAAAACAACAGAAAAAGUGACAUGAACUUCUAUUCUUUAUCUCACAUCCCCUUUUACUUCCCAUGAGCACUUAAAGCUGUGGAGUACCAUAGAUCUGAGGGCUAGAAUCUGAAGGUGGGAGUUUUGGGGGUUAGAUCCUUCCUGUCUAUAGGGUGGACCUCCUUUAAUGAAGGCCAUUAUCCACCAUUCCUGCCCCGUGGCCCCCAUCCCAGACGUGACCAAGCGGAGACUGGACGAAUCCCAGUCAGGGACGCAACAGAGAGAGUCAUGCACUGAGAGGGCAAUCAGGCAAGAUCAUUUCUAAAAUCUUUCCUGGUUCUGUGCUCUUGUGUAUGCAUGAUUCUAAGCCACGAGCAGGUGCCUAACAAAAGGAGGUUGGUCAGUGGGUCAGAGGAUCAGUCCAUGAAUGUUUGCUACACACAUGUGCCCUAUUUAAAAAGGAUUUGCUGGCAGGCCUCAGAAGGCCCUGCCUUCUGGAGAGCUGUUAGAUGAAAAAAGGUUGAGACUAUGACUUUCUGACAUUAUUUCCAGGUAGUUGGCACGUACAAAUUUUUAAAAAAUAUAUUUAUUUUAAUUUGAAAAUGGACAUGAAAAAGAUAGAAUUAAAAAUCAGUCACAAUGCCACCAACCACUUUGGUGGAAAUAUUUAUGCAUGUUUAGCUCUACUUAGAACACACACACGACUACACUGAACAUACUGUUUUGUGUAUGUAUCUCUCUUAGGUCAUUAAAUAACCUUUGACAAUAUUUUAAUGAUGUGUGUGUGUUCAAGAACUUUCUGAUAAAAACAAAACAGGGAGAUGGGAGCAAGAUGGUCAUUUGAGGCAGGCAGUAUGGAUUUAUUCUGCAAAAGAAAGCACAGGGUUCCAUCCUGUUUUGCAAAAACCAUCAGUGGAAAGUAAUUCUGAUGAGGAGGAGAAGUAUGUUGCUCACAGGGAUUAUGCCUUCCAGCCUCAGUCCUGGUAUGAACACAGCAUGGACCUACAACCAUCCGCAAUGGACAUGUAGCAUGAGCAAGAAAUAAAUCUUUAUUUUGUAAGACACACACACAACACACACACACACACACACACACCGCAAACAUACAAAUGGCAAGACCACUUACAUUUCCUAAGGCUACAAGGAAGGGCACCUGUGAAAGAAAUCAGCUUCUGGAAUCUGGGCUCCUUUGUUGUGUAUAUCUGCUAAUAUAUUUGAAUCAUAUGUGGGGUGCAGAGUUUUCCCAAAUGAGCCUAUAAACUCUGCAGACAAAGCUUAUUCUUUAAGUGUGUGGGGAAUUAAGGGGAUGCCUCACUCCCUACGUAAGGAAGAAGCCUGGGAAGGCCUACUGUACCUUGCUUCGGGCAGAAGAAAAUGGACAUAGCAGGUGUCUUCCAAGGCUCUGUUAAGCAGAGGGCUGGUCUAUGGAGAAGUUAGGAGGAAGAAUUCAGGGAUGAGGAAGCAGAAACUGUGUUCUGAACACUGGAGUGCCGGCCACUUCCUUGUGCAAGAUGCAACUCAAGUAGGAGGUCAAGGCAACCCCCAUCCACAAGGCCGCACCUGUAGCUACCACCAUCCAGAUAGGAAGGCUUUGCCCAAGCAGCCUGAGAUUUGCAGCCUUUAUGUCUUUCCCCCUCUUUAGGCCCCACUGAGGCCCAGAAGUACACAAUUGGUGGCUAAAGGGCACGACCAUUUUCCCCAAAAUUGGGGUUUGGGAGACACAAUCUUUCACAGGUAAGUACAGCACUAGGCAAUCAUGAUGGCAGAGUGCCAUUCAGGCCGUCCAGAACUUGAGGAAUAUAUGCUCUUUCAGUGGCAUCUCACUGCACUCAAAAUAAAUUCCUAAAUCUUUAUCAUGCUCUUCAAGGCCCUAUGUAGCCUGCACCAUGACGCUUCUUCCAGCCUGUGAUCUACUCCUUGAUGAUGCCACACUCACUCCCUUGUUUCCAGCCCCCCCCCCCCCCCGGCAUAUUCCUGCCUGUCCCUGGGCUCACUAUGCCCUUUGCCUUGGACGCCUUUCCCUCUGUGUUUACAUGGCCCCCUCCCUCACUUCAUUCUAGUUCUUCUCAAAUGUAACACCAGAACCACUGAUGCAUUCUGUGGCCACCCUACCCAGAAUAGCAUCCUCCCUCCAUUACUCAUCUAUUGGCAGUAGGGGAGCCUGCCACUAUGGGAAGCUGGGACCCACAUUUGACACAAGAGGACACUCCGGCCACGCUGAGGAGAGGGAGCCCCGGGAUGAAAUAGCUGGAAGAAACCGUGCCACUCAAAGUCCCAUGGACACCAUGUGACAGGAGGGGCUGUGUCCAUCGGGCCACUGCCUUGUCUCACAAACAACCCCUUCCAUUCACGUCCACAUGUGUCUGUUUUCUGCCUCUUGAGUGGGUCCGAAACUGGAAAACAUCUGCACUAGUUUCGUCUGGGUGUGAUUUAUAAGGACUCCCCAUGGUCCCCUCUCUCCCUUCUCCUCCUCUUCACCUCUGGUGCUUGGGGGUUUCGUGGUUUUUUGUUUUGUUUUGUUUUGUUUUAAACAGGCUAGUGUUUCUUGAGACUGGGUCACCUUGAUUUAUUAUGCCCUGGACUCAUUAACAAAAGACUCUGGGACAGGUCAUUUAUUUUCUGAGUGGUGAUUUCCUGUCCUACCCCAGCCCUGCUCGGCAGGGGCCUGGUGGAGCACAGACUUAUAUUAGCUGCACUGUCACCAUGGGAGAACGGAAUCAAGCAAGGAAGGUACAGAGGGCAGAAAACGUCUCUUUUCUUAAGGGCUUUCUCCUUACUUUAAUGAUUUUCUUCAGAGUCCCUUUUGGUAGUUCUUUCUCUCCUCCCUCAGCAAAUGAGACAAGUUUAACAGAUAAGUUGUGGGGUUGCUUCUUAAAGGAACAGACACGGAUCUGUUUUCUCUAUUUCACAUUUGAAUAGCCUAACAUUUAUAUGUGUAUUUAUGGAGGGUUAUUAGUGGACACCCAAGCUGAGCAUGAAGUAGGCGAACUCAACGUUAUGUGCACUAUGGUCAACUAUUUUGUCAGGUCCUUAUUAAAAUAAUACACUCAUGUUUGGGCACUAAAACCUGAGAUGCUAAUAAUUUAGAGGGAGGUCACAAGGCAAAAGUGAAAUUAUUCAAGAUUUUCAGAUAGGCUCUCUGGAGGAAGAUUAAAGAAAUUGGCAUGGUUUAGCCUGAGGUUCAAAGGCUGAAGAAUGAUUUAUUAACUGUUUUCAGGUCUCUGGGAGGUAGUUUUAUGUAGGAAUGAUGGUGACCAACUGUUUUCUGACUGCACUAAAGAUAGAAUCAGAGGAAGUAGAAUUAAAUUGUAGCAAAAUUACAGAAUAGUCAUAAGGUGAGUAGCUAUGGCUAAAGUCUAUUGAGAAAAAGAUGAGAUAUAUCUGUAAAGUUGUAACGCUGUUACCCCAUUUUAAAGAAUAACAAACAGAGGCUCAAAGAAGUUAAGUAAUUGCUGAAGGUCACAAAGUGAGGCAGUGACAGAACUGGGUCUAACUAAUUCCACAGUGUAUAGAGUGUAUAAAUAGGUCAAAGAAAUAGCAAAUAUAUGUAUAUUUUUUUAAUAAAAAUAAAUAAAAAAAUAAAAUCAUAUUAUAAAGUUCCCAAUAGUCUAGAUUGAUUUAUGUUCAGAGAACAGGGGAUUCAAUUCUGUGGACUUAAGACCUUGGGAUUCUAUGCUCCACUUGGUUCUGAGCUGGGAAGGCAGUCCUCUUCACUCACCUUCAGCCUAAGAGACAGGCAGAGUGGGCAGACCCAGCACCAGCACCCUCUGAAGCAGUCUGAAGACUGGGCUCUGGGCUGGUCAUUUUUGUCACUUGUCAUGGGCCAUACUCCCAGGCAAAGGCUUUGGUCUCAGGAAGGCUAUGGAGUUGGUGGGUGUGGAUGGUUGAGGCUCAAGAAAGGCACCCCUCCUGCCCACUGUGCUUGUCUCCUCGAAGUCCCUCCCACCAUGGAAAGGCCAGUUAAGGAGUUUCUGGAGUGUGUUUCACUGUGAGGAUUGGGAUUGAUCCAGAACCACCAAAGUGGCUGGACUCCUGAGAAGUAUGCAGAAGUGGGAGAAGCAAAGCCCAGCUGGAUUAUUGCCCUGCACAUGGGUCAGUUUGGAAAUGGCCACGAAGGAGGAGCAAGGCUGUAAGAAAGAUUUCGUGGGCGGGAAGGAGAGCGAACAUCUACUGCACACUUACUCUGCCAGGUACUGGUGAAGGGUGAGGGACUACGUGAGGUCAUUCGAUCUCUGCAACAACACUGUGACGUCAGUACUCUUACUAUCGUCAUUUACAGAAGGGGAACCAGCACAGAGAAGUAAAACACUGGUCGACGCUCCACAGCCAGGAGGAGUUAGAACUCGAAUCCAGACCUAAAAGACCGUCUGACCCCGGAGGCUGCAUUCUUAACUGCCAUGACUCGGAUGAGGACAUGGACGGUCCGCAUAGCAAUGCACCGCUACCAUUUUGCACUCGGUCUGUGGCUGGUCUUGGGGCUGCAGAGAGGGCAGUCCUGAAGUCCAGAUCCCAGGGACAAGAGGGCUACUGCAGAGCUGGCGAAAAUGACCAAAGGAGGAAAUCAGAACACGGUCCAGGUCACAGUGGGGAGAUGUGGCUCAUUUCUUGUCUCUGUAGUCUGCUGAGUGGUCCCAUAAUCCGGGCUACUCA